CUGACUUUCUAGUGACUAACUUCUGAUGGGUUCCUUGUCACGAGACAGGCAUCUGACCUUCUAGUGACUAAGGUUCCUUGUCACGAGACAGGCAUCUGACCUCUAAGUGACCAAGGCAGGUUUAUGGCAAGCACGUGUUCGGCUGUUAUGGCUGCCGAAAGGGGAGCAGGUCCCUUCAUUCUGGUGUACAUGCAGAACUCAAGCAUGGAUCAAGUGACAUUUCUGCUGCCCAGUUGUCUGGAAAAACAUAAAAGCUUAGAAUUUUCAUCGAUUCCACCCCAAAUUAUUGUGUAUUGUGGAUCUCAAAGUCAGUCUGCUGGAUUUUGGGGAUACUUCCAGUAUGCAAGAAGAUGAGAAAUCCACAGAACUAGAAGACAGAUGAUGCCUUCAAUUAUUUGGAAGAAACAGAAGUGAACCCAGAGAAGAACGGAUGUUAUAGAAUAAGUAUCUGAUUAUAGGCAUAAUAAAGCAAUGUUUUGAGGGUUUGCUUUACAGUGAUGACUUUGUCUUAAGGAAGUGUUUAUAUGAGCAUGAAGGAACAAUUAGCUCUACUUCUUUAUUAAAGAUAUAGCAAGAAAGGAUCUAGAAUGGCUAACUGGUCACGCAUAUAACCUUAUCACCCUUAAACUAAAGAAAAUCUAGUUUUCAGGGCUUGCUAUGUGAUUUGUAGCAUCUGCAAAAGCCAUGCAAGGUAUCUAUGAAACCCUAUAGUUCUCAUUCAUUUAUUUUGCAUUUUACUAUAUAUUCAAAAAAACACCAUUACCAGUUUUUCAAAAUAGCAUUUUUCUCAGUUCUGGAAUUGGUUUUUCUCUUUUUUAUGACAGUUUGCUACUUUACAAGAAACUUGUAAGUAUUCUAUAGUCUUUGAGAUGCCUAAACGCCUUUCAUUCUUUGGAAACAAACAUUGGAUAAAUGAGGUGAUUGAAACCCUGUAUAGCACCGCAAAUACUUGGAUUAGAGUAUAAUGUAUCUAUUUUAUUUAAAAGUGUUAUGAUAGAAAGCUGCCAUUAUAGAUUUUAGCAUACUUUUGCUCUGGUGGCAUCUUAGGCUAUCAGUCUUGAGUGUGUUUUUCCAAAAGGGAAGAUUUGUCCUGUCAAUCAGGCUAGAGGCAGGCAGUGACAAGGGCUUGGCCUGUAUUGAGGUGCAGGUCUUUUGGAAACCUCCAUUUUUAUUUUCUUUAUUAUCUUUUUGUUCUUUUUGUAUGUGAAGUGUAAAAUUUCUUAUUUCCAAAUGGAGUAGGCUCUUCCUCCUUUUCUACUGGCCUUUUGGAAGAAAAAGCAACUCCUUCUCAGUUGUGGGCUGUGAAAAGAUGAAACUGUCAGAGAGCCGAUAAAGCACAUAAUGGCUAGCAAUGUUCUGUCUUCUGGGGUUAGAGACAAAAUAGUUGAUUCAGCUAGGUCACUUGGUGUGCUAUUCAUUGCCCUGUGACUCAGUAGGGGUCCCUUGACAUUUUCUGGGACCCCCUCACUCAUAGUAGUUGCUCAUUGUCGUGGGGACAACUGAUGGCUUCCAAAUUCCCAUCUCAGAUUUUUUUUUUUUAUGAGUAGAAAGUAGAAAGUAAAAGUGAAAAAUACCAUAUUAAAAACAACAUUUAGAGAUCAAUGAGGGACAUUCCAUGGGAAAUGAAUUUUGAUUGAUUGCAAAAUCAGCUUGAUUCACUCAGCUCGUCUUUGGCUUAAAAAUAAGUUUUCCUUGUUUUUUGCACUGUGUUUGAAAUAUUUACUCUUGCUGGAAGUUGCCAUGGAAUGAAUAUAGAUACUGGACAAGAAGAAAAUGUAACAUGUAUAGAGUUGAGUUGGAUACACAAAGGAAGUUAUGGUAAAUUGUAUGUUUGUACACAGCUGUACAAACAUUCUAGGUAUAAGUUCUUCAGAGGACAUUUUCUUUUAUAGUAUGGAUAUAUUUUUUUUCUAUGUAGAUAUGGGAACAGUUUUCUAGGCAAUGUUGAUUAAAUAAAAGUAACAUUGUUUUACUUAGUAGUAAAGAUAAGGUGUUUGAAGAAAAACAGUGGAACAAAAUAAGAAAGAGAAAAUAUUUAUUGAAAUGGGUGGACUAGAAUUUUUGGCUUUUGGAGUCCCCUCUGCUUUUCAGAGAGGAUCCUUUUCCCUUUGUGUCUGCUGUGUGCAUGUGUUUCUCACCCCCCAAUAAACUCUUUUCUUUAACUGUUGAUUCUAUCUGUAUUAUUUGAGAUUUUCUCUGCUUCUACCUGUUGCACUUUAGAUUUUUCUCUUCCUAGAAAACUCACCCUUUCAAGACCCCUAGAAAGUAUCCAUUUUAAGGCCCAUAGAUUGUAUCAAUAAGGUGGCUAAUUGGCCCACAGUUGUCUAACAUGUCCUGAUCUGGCCUGGAAUUUGAGCCAGUCCAUCAGUAUUGGCCCUGCUGACAGAGAAAACAAAAGCUUACAAGACCUGUGUUUCAGGUUGCCAGUUUUUGUCUCCGGUCAGGAAGUUAAGAAGCCAGCCAUCUUGGAAGUUCACCACCCUUCUUACCUAGUCGUGGUCUCUCUCCCUAUCUGUCUACCUUUCAGAGAAUCUAACACCUAGUCCCUCAGUGCUGUUUUAAAGAGGAAGCCUUGAUAAGGUAGGAGGUUAAGUCAGGUGUCACUCCUCAGAAAUCUUCCAUUUUGUUUUCUAAGACAUGAUCUCCUGGUUACCAGUUUCUCUCAGGCUCUCUUUUCUUUUCACUUGCUUUCUCCACCCUUUCUGUAUUUGAUCAAAACACAGGUGCAGUACAGCACAAUGCCAUGACAAGAUAAUCUAGAGGCUCUAACUCAGGGGUGCCCUCAUUCGGUCUGCUAGUUCACUGGAGCUUUCUUCUGUAAGACCCACUGGUUAAAAGCACUGAAGACUUCCUACUGGUCCUCUUUUUUUUUUUUUUUUCUUUUUUUUUUCUUUUUUUCUUUUUUUUCUGAGACAGGGUUUCUCUGUAUUGCUUUGGAGUCUGGUCCUGGUACUCAAUUUGUAGACCAGGCUGGCCUUGAACUCACAGAGAUCCGGCUGCCUCUACCUCCCAAGUCCUGGAUUAACAGUGUGCAUCACCAAUGCCCGUCUUUGAUAAUAUGGAGUUGUAACAGUUACGGUUACCUGUUUGUGUUCCAGGCCCAUUUGGUCAUUUAGAGACUUAGAACAUGCUCUGAGGAACUAGAUACUGACCUCUGUUUUGCCUUUGUCCCUCAUCCACCCCAAAUUUUCUGUAGAUACUCACUUGGUUGAAGAUUCCAAUAGCCAAGAUUGGCUAAGAAUUCCUGGAAUUCUCCACUGGCCCAUAGCUCAAAACUGGCCCAAAUUCAAAAUUUUUAUUUUUUUAAAGAUCUAAACUGAUUUAAAUAACUCAAUAAGAUGGUCCAUUCCUUCCCUACCCCUUUCCCCCCAAAAUCUCCAACCUUCCCAAGCUCACUUAAAUCUUUCUCAAGGCUGUGGCUUACAGCUAUACCGAGAGCCAGAAUGCCUACUUCUGUUUCUGUAGGGCCUCCGAAUUUGUAUCUACUCCUGAGAUAGCUCAGAACUCUUUUGCCUUAUGCUUUUGGCCUAUGGUUUUUCCUCUCCAAGCCUGAAAAAUCCUGCCUAUAUCAUUAACAGCUAAGAGGUAAAAGUGUUUCAAUUUGUCUGCUCCCAUCUUCAGAUGUAUGCAAACUCGGUUUGGGUAUGGAGAUGUAUGGGUUCAGUCUUCCAGAGUCCAUUGUCUUUGGGUAUGAAUAACACUGAAAAGUUGUCUCAUGCUGUUACUCUACUAAGAAGGCUGGCUCUCCAGUUGAACUUUGGCCCAUCUGCUCCAGACCCAAGCAUGCUUGUUUAAACCUUUAUGCCAAAGUCUCUGUCCUGAGUCAGGGUGACUGCCUGACUCUGUGACAAGGAGAAGGAGAGCCAAAGAGAACAUCCCCUUGAUAACAAAUAAAUAAACUAUUCCUCAUAGAGGUUACAAAUGGCAAGAUGCUUAACUCCAUGAAUUCUCCUCCCUUUGUUUUUGUUUACUGUUGUUAAAGCUUUUGUUGAAACUGGAGCCUUCAGCAUUUUAGGAUUUGUAAGUUCAGUGAGUGUGAUUUAAAAAUGGUCUGUACACCUUAAUCUUACUUUGCUAUAAUAAGCCAUAUGUAUAACUAGGAUUCAACUCUUGCUUAGGAAAAGGAGCGUGCUCAGUGGAUUCACCACAAUGUGUCUUGCCACCUUCUUGGUUUGUGACCUGGUUGGGAUGGAAGCAUGCCCGUGAUAUUACUGCAGCUUUGGUAGAGAGAUAAACUUGGAGGUAUCUUCCAUCUUGAAGUUAUCCCCCAUCUUAUAGAAUUCUACUUAUGUUGUCAAAGUCUGAAACAACUGGACACAAGCUAGAGUCAUCUGAGAGAAGGGAAUCUUAACUGAGAAAAUGCCUCCGCAAGAUUGGGCUGUGAGCAGCAAAGCAUGUCGGGCAUUUUCCAAGUUAGUAAUCAGCAAACGAGGACCCUGGCCAUUGUCUGUGAGUUCUAGUGGACCUGGGUUCUACAACAAAGCAUGAAGAGCAAUCCAUGAGGAGGAAACCAAUGAGCUGCCUGCCCUCCUCUGUGAGUUUUCUAUCAGCCCUUGCCUUGCCUCCCGGUUCCUGCUUGCCUUUAGUUCCUGAGCUGGCUUAUCUCAGUGGACCCUGAGUGAUUCAGAGCACAUAAACCAAAUACUCUCUGUCCUUCCCAAGUUAAUUUUGCUGUGAUGGCUCAUCACAAAAAUAUGGACCCAAACUAAGAGAGUAUUCCACCUAAAAGUUUCGACCCAGAGGUUUGCAAAUCCUGAGGCUGGCCUGAGCUACAGAGGAGGUUCAAGGCCAGCUUUGGCAAUCUAAUGAGACUUCAUCUUAAAAUGAAAAAUAAUGAAGUGCCAAGCAUAUUUUUCCAUGGUUGCUUACUUGCCUAUAGUGAAAGAGAACCUAGGUUCAAUCCCUAGUGCCAAAAUAAAUAAAAAUACACAAAUACAUUAAUAUGUAAAUAAAAUUCCUUUAAGUUUCUUUGAAACUUCACUUCUGAGCUUAGUCUAGAAAUACUAAUUUAAUGAAAGAAUGUAACUAUACAACAUGC
ensembl:lncRNA